rnacentral:lncRNA from 1 species
CUUUAACCUGUCAAAAAUGUCUUUUUAUAAAGCAACUGACUAAAUGUCAAAUUAUAGAACAAAUAUAACCCAAUGAUGAAAACUACAGAAUGAGCUAGGUCUUUAAAUCAGGCCUACAAUGGAAAGAAUUCACCUUCAAAGUGGAAAGUUUAUAAUACUUUCCAAGCUCUACAGAGAACUGAGGACUAAAGGAAGACAGAUGAUACCUGCGAAGGGAUAUUCAGCUUCAUCUUGACUUGAGCCAACCCUUUUGGAGGGUCUACAAAAGAGCUACCUGGAAAUCUUGGUGGAAGCCUCCAUGAUCCCAUAACUGCAUGUCUGCAAACCAGCAUAACAUAGACACUGGUGGCAAGCUUGGGGGGGGGGUCUCAUUUCUGUUCAUUAUUUCAUACUUAAACACUGCAUUUUGACCAAAUAAAAUUCAUCUUGCUGAUCUAGAAUGUCAACACUUAUCCUUCUGGCUAUUAUAAUAACAUAUGAAGCCAUUACAUCAUUCUGAAAAUUUCUCCAGUGCUUCCUUCCUUUCGAUUGACCAACGCUGUUCUUGCUUGGGGAAAAAAAAAAAAAAACCAAAACAAAAAACAAACCUCUUUUUUUGAUUUCAGUCACCUUAUAGUAGCUUGAUUUUUGAUGUGGUGUGCACACGGGGUGGGGUGGGGUGGAGUUAGCACAAUGUUAACACUAUGCAGAUUUUUGUCUUUGUCCGUCUUGGAGACUGAUCUGUGUUUCUGUGUAAUGUGUGAAUUCUUUGUCUCCUUUUUGGUAUUUAAUUGCAUUCACACACCAUGGCUUGUUUAUCCGUAACCUGAUUGAUGGACACUUGUUUCUAGUUCUUGACAUGUAGGAGUAAAGGUGCAGCAAACAUUUAUCUGCCAGUCUUUAAGGAUAAAAAGAUUCUCAUUUUUUCCUUGGGUAAAACGUAGG